rnacentral:rRNA from 1 species
UUUUAUAAGGGAAUAAAGUGAGCCUCGUGAGGCUUUUUGCAUGUACCUUAUGAAUAAGGACCGGCUAAUUCCGUGCCAGCAGCCGCGGUAAUACGGAAGGUCCGGGCGUUAUCCGGAUUUAUUGGGUUUAAAGGGAGCGUAGGCCGGAGAUUAAGCGUGUUGUGAAAUGUAGAUGCUCAACAUCUGCACUGCAGCGCGAACUGUUUUCCUUGAGUACGCACAAAGUGGGCGGAAUUCGUGGUGUAGCGGUGAAAUGCUUAGAUAUCACGAAGAACUCCGAUUGCGAAGGCAGCUCACUGGAGCGCAACUGACGCUGAAGCUCGAAAGUGCGGGUAUCGAACAGGAUUAGAUACCCUGGUAGUCCGCACGGUAAACGAUGGAUGCCCGCUGUUGGUCUGAAUAGGUCAGCGGCCAAGCGAAAGCAUUAAGCAUCCCACCUGGGGAGUGCGCCGGCAACGGUGCAACUCAAAGGAAUUGACGGA